CGGGAGAGUGCGCGCCGCCGCUUGAGGCAGUGUCCCCAGCCCGCCGCUCGCUCCGCAUUUUGCGGUUUUGCCGGCUCUGCAAUGAGGGAUCAAGAUGAGGAUCAAAUGUCACGCGGUUUGUGAAUUGUAACCCGCUGUGCCUAGGUAUUAGAACUAGUUCAGGAUCUCAGUCCGUGGGCAGAAGCACAAAUGGGGAGUAGAUGGG